AUACGGAGGAUGCAAGCGUUAUCCGGAUUUAUUGGGUUUAAAGGGUGCGCAGGCUGACCGGUAAGUCAGGGGUGAAACUUUACAGCUUAACUGUAAACGUGCCUUUGAUACUGCCGGACUAGAGUUUAAGAGACGUAAUUGGAAUGUGAUGUGUAGCGGUGAAAUGCUUAGAUAUAUCACAGAACGCCGAUCGUGAAGACAGAUUACGAACUUAAUACUGACGCUCAUGCACGAAAGCGUGGGGAGC
rnacentral:rRNA from 1 species